UCCACCGUUGAUAUGAAAAAUCGUACGGCCACUAAAUAAUCAAUUCUUUUUUUUUCUCCUCUUCACAAAUAAUAUAAUAAAGUGAAAUGUUGAGAUUGGUUAAUAUCUGAUGACAAAGAUAGCUAUUUUUAACCAUUGAUUAUUUUGAUCCAAUGGAUGUAAUUCAAUUUACUCCUUGUCCAAUCAUUUUCUUUUGGUCUUCCUCUCACUCUCACGUUUCUCUCUGCUCCUCUCUCUACUGAGAUUUCAUUUCAUCAUUCUACUCUUCUUCUUUCUUCACCAUAGCAAUCCUCAUUCUACAAACACAAACCAUCAUCACUGUCACCUCCGCCACCUCCUCCUCCUUGUUCCCCACCUUCGCGGACCACAAUCGCAUCCUCCUCCUCCUUGUUCCUCAACCACAAAUCUAGAUUCGUGAAUGGAGAUGACGCUGGUGAGACUGGAGAUGAUGACGACAUUUUUUCAGGUCUCAAACAAACGUAAAUAGGCAUACGAAUCUGGGAGGAGGCACGGAAGCUGCAGAUGACGACGUCUCCGGUCAAGGCUGGAAGAGGAGGAGGCGCAAGGCUCAUGAAGGAGGCGAGGCGGCAGUUGCGUCGAAGGAGGCGCACGGAAGCUGUAGUGGGGGAGACCCUGAGGCCGGAAGCAGAGACGACGGCGUCUCCGGUCAAGGAUGGAGAAGGCCAGGCGCACUGGUUGAGGAGGCACACAUGGAAGAUGGAGAAGGGCGGCUGGAAUUUUUUUUUUUUAGGUUUAGUGUUUUUUUUUGUUUAGAGUUUUCCGGUUUAGUGUAAACCGAAUUGGAUAAACCGUUGUGGUUUACUUUAUUUUUUUUUUCUGGUUUAGCUUUGUAAACCGAAAUUUAUUUAUCAAUAUAUUUUAUUUUAUUUUUAA